GACGAACGCUGGCGGCGUGCUUAACACAUGCAAGUCGAACGGAAAGGCCCUGCUUUUGUGGGGUGCUCGAGUGGCGAACGGGUGAGUAACACGUGAGUAACCUGCCCUUGACUUUGGGAUAACUUCAGGAAACUGGGGCUAAUACCAGAUAGGAGCUCCUGCUGCAUGGUGGGGGUUGGAAAGUUUCGGCGGUUGGGGAUGGACUCGCGGCUUAUCAGCUUGUUGGUGGGGUAGUGGCUUACCAAGGCUUUGACGGGUAGCCGGCCUGAGAGGGUGACCGGCCACAUUGGGACUGAGAUACGGCCUAGACUCCUACGGGAGGCAGCAGUGGGGAAUAUUGCACAAUGGGCGGAAGCCUGAUGCAGCAACGCCGCGUGCGGGAUGACGGCCUUCGGGUUGUAAACCGCUUUCGCCUGUGACGAAGCGUGAGUGACGGUAAUGGGUAAAGAAGCACCGGCUAACUACGUG
rnacentral:rRNA from 1 species